rnacentral:rRNA from 1 species
UGGGGAAUAUUGCACAAUGGGCGCAAGCCUGAUGCAGCCAUGCCGCGUGUAUGAAGAAGGCCUUCGGGUUGUAAAGUACUUUCAGCGGGGAGGAAGGGAGUAAAGUUAAUACCUUUGCUCAUUGACGUUACCCGCAGAAGAAGCACCGGCUAACUCCGCGCCAGCAGCCGCGGUAAUACGGAGGGUGCAAGCGUUAAUCGGAAUUACUGGGCGUAAAGCGCACGCAGGCGGUUUGUUAAGUCAGAUGUGAAAUCCUCGGGCUCAACCUGGGAGCUGCUUCAGAUAAUGGCAAGCUUGAGUCUCGUAGAGGGGGGUAGAAUUCCAGGUGUAGCGGUGAAAUGCGUAGAGAUCUGGAGGAAUACCGGUGGCGAAGGCGGCCGCCUGGACGAAGACUGACGCUCAGGUGCGAAAGCGUGGGGAGCAAACAGG